UACUAUAGACUCCCCUUAAAAUUCCGUUUAAAGGUCUUCAGGUGGCUCUCUUGGUGAAGGCGUGUGCUGCCAGCCCUGAGGACCAGAAUUUGGUCUCUGGAACCCUCAUGAGGGAGGAGGAGAACCGAUCCUUCAGAGAAGUCCUGAGGUGUCCACUUAUGACUGGGGAGUACAGGCACCCCCUUCCACAAAACAAAGAUGAGUUACUAGAGUAAAUAUUACAACACUGGUGAGAACUGGCACUUUGACAGAGGUAAGAACUGGCAUUUUGACAGAGGUGAGAACUGGCACUUUGACAGAGGUGAGAACUGGCACUUUGACAGAGGUAAGCAAAGGGAAUCACUUCUACAGUAAAUAAGGACAGCAGAGCGCGAAGUCUUUGCAACUCCACUCUCUUCAGAGGAGGAAUACAACAUUACAGACUUGAUCCAAUGGGCCCAACCCUGCUUCCUGUCAGGAGAGCAGUGCCUGAGAGUAAUGAAGUCACAGACAGCCUUUGGUGACUCCAACUGGAACCUUCAGAAAUGACAGACUCUACAGUUCCUAAAUUCCCUGGGAAGCACGAGGGGCAGUGUUCUGUGUGCUGCUUUCCGUCAGUUCCAUCUUACAUGAAGAGAAGUAAACUUUGAUCAUAUAACUCACUGAAA